UCCUUGGUGGUCUAGUGGUUAAGACUCUGUGCUUCUAAUGCAGGGGACCUGGGUUCAAUCCCUGGUCAGGGAA